GAUGAACGCUGGCGGCGUGCUUAACACAUGCAAGUCGAACGAUGAAGCCCAGCUUGCUGGGUGGAUUAGUGGCGAACGGGUGAGUAACACGUGAGUAACCUGCCCUUAACUCUGGGAUAAGCCUGGGAAACUGGGUCUAAUACCGGAUAGGAUCGUCCACCGCAUGGUGGGUGUUGGAAAGAUUUAUCGGUUUUGGAUGGACUCGCGGCCUAUCAGCUUGUUGGUGAGGUAAUGGCUCACCAAGGCGACGACGGGUAGCCGGCCUGAGAGGGUGACCGGCCACACUGGGACUGGGAAACGGCCCAGACUCCUACGGGAGGCAGCAGUGGGGAAUAUUGCACAAUGGGCGCAAGCCUGAUGCAGCGACGCCGCGUGAGGGAUGACGGCCUUCGGGUUGUAAACCUCUUUCAGUAGGGAAGAAGCGAAAGUGACGGUACCUGAAGAAGAAGCACCGGCUAACUACGUG
rnacentral:rRNA from 1 species